rnacentral:rRNA from 1 species
UGCAGUCGAGCGGAAGGCCCUUCGGGGUACUCGAGCGGCGAACGGGUGAGUAACACGUGAGCAACCUGCCCCAGGCUUUGGGAUAACCCCGGGAAACCGGGGCUAAUACCGAAUAUGACCUCCGAUCGCAUGGUUGGUGGUGGAAAGUUUUUCGGCUUGGGAUGGGCUCGCGGCCUAUCAGCUUGUUGGUGGGGUGAUGGCCUACCAAGGCGACGACGGGUAGCCGGCCUGAGAGGGCGACCGGCCACACUGGGACUGAGACACGGCCCAGACUCCUACGGGAGGCAGCAGUGGGGAAUAUUGCACAAUGGGCGGAAGCCUGAUGCAGCGACGCCGCGUGAGGGAUGACGGCCUUCGGGUUGUAAACCUCUUUCAGCAGGGACGAAGCGUAAGUGACGGUACCUGCAGAAGAAGCGCCGGCCAACUACGUGCCAGCAGCCGCGGUAAGACGUAGGGCGCGAGCGUUGUCCGGAUUUAUUGGGCGUAAAGAGCUCGUAGGCGGCUUGUCGCGUCGACCGUGAAAACUUGGGGCUCAACCCCAAGCCUGCGGUCGAUACGGGCAGGCUAGAGUUCGGUAGGGGAGACUGGAAUUCCUGGUGUAGCGGUGAAAUGCGCAGAUAUCAGGAGGAACACCGGUGGCGAAGGCGGGUCUCUGGGCCGAUACUGACGCUGAGGAGCGAAAGCGUGGGGAGCGAACAGGAUUAGAUACCCUGGUAGUCCACGCUGU